UGCCAGCAGCCGCGGUAAUACAGAGGGGGUUUGCGUUGUUCGGAAUUACUGGGCGUAAAGCGCACGUAGGCGGAUUAGAAAGUUGGGGGUGAAAUCCCAGGGCUCAACCCUGGAACUGCCUCCAAAACUACUAGUCUUGAGUUCGAGAGAGGUGAGUGGAAUUCCGAGUGUAGAGGUGAAAUUCGUAGAUAUUCGGAAGAACACCAGUGGCGAAGGCGGCUUUCUGGACCGAUACUGACGCUGAGACGCGAAAGCGUGGGGAGCAAACAGGAUUAGAUA
rnacentral:rRNA from 1 species